AUUGAACGCUGGCGGCAGGCUUAACACACGCAAGUCGAGCGGGGUGAUGGUGCUUGCACUAUCACUUAGCGGCGGACGGGUGAGUAAUGCUUAGGAAUCUGCCUAUUAGUGGGGGACAACAUCUCGAAAGGGAUGCUAAUACCGCAUACGUCCUACGGGAGAAAGCAGGGGAUCACUUGUGACCUUGCGCUUAUAGAUGAGCCUAAGUCGGAUUAGCUAGUUGGUGGGGUAAAGGCCUACCAAGGCGACGAUCUGUAGCGGGUCUGAGAGGAUGAUCCGCCACACGGGGACUGAGACACGGCCCAGACUCCGACGGGAGGCAGCAGUGGGGAAUAUUGGACAAUGGGGGGAACCCUGAUCCAGCCAUGCCGCGUGUGUGAAGAAGGCCUUAUGGUUGUAAAGCACUUUAAGCGAGGAGGAGGCUCUUUUGGUUAAUACCCAAGAUGAGUGGACGUUACUCGCAGAAUAAGCACCGGCUAACUCUGUGCCAGCCGCCGCGGUAA
rnacentral:rRNA from 1 species